rnacentral:rRNA from 1 species
AUUAGUCAAUGCUCGAAAGAGUGAACUAGCUAACUGGAAUCAUGAGUGUGUCACUUGUGAUAAGGUAAAGGAAAAAUUAUGAUGUCACUUUACUAUUAGUGUUGUCCAAAGCUGGUGCCAGAAGACUCGGUAAUGCCAGAGACGCAAGCGUUAGUCAUCCUGAUCAGGCGUAAAGGGUUUGUAGGCAGCUUUAAAUUAAUUAAAGAUAGAAUCAUAUAGAGGUCACUUUCAGAUAAUUCUUAGAGUAGGGUUGAUAUCUGUAGAUACUAGGAGGAAUACUAAUUAGCGAAGGCACUUUUCCAAAUUAUGAUUGACGCUGAGAAACGAAGGGGAGGAAAGACAAUAGGAUUAGAUACCCUGGCAUCCCUCUCUGUCAACGAUGAAUGGUAGUUGCUAGUUUAUAUGAUUAGUGGCGAUGCUAACGCGUUAACCAUUCCGCCUUGUGAGUACGGCUGCAAAGUUGAAAACAAAAAAAUUAGUCGGUUUCGGAGCAAACGAAGUGAAGCAUGUUAUU